rnacentral:rRNA from 1 species
AUUGAACGCUGGCGGCAGGCCUAACACAUGCCAGUCGAACGGUAACAGGAAGAAGCUUGCUUCUUUGCUGACGAGUGGCGGACGGGUGAGUAAUGUCUGGGAAACUGCCUGAUAGAGGGGGAUAACUACUGGAAACGGUAGCUAAUACCGCAUAACGUCGCAAGACCAAAGAGGGGGACCUUCGGGCCUCUUGCCAUCGGAUGUGCCCAGAUGGGAUUAGCUAGUAGGUGGGGUAACGGCUCACCUAGGCGACGAUCCCUAGCUGGUCUGAGAGGAUGACCAGCCACACUGGAACUGAGACACGGUCCAGACUCCUACGGGAGGCAGCAGUGGGGAAUAUUGCACAAUGGGCGCAAGCCUGAUGCAGCCAUGCCGCGUGUAUGAAGAAGGCCUUCGGGUUGUAAAGUACUUUCAGCGGGGAGGAAGGGAGUAAAGUUAAUACCUUUGCUCAUUGACGUUACCCGCAGAAGAAGCACCGGCUAACUCCGUG